rnacentral:rRNA from 1 species
AUACGGAGGGUGCAAGCGUUAUCCGGAUUUAUUGGGUUUAAAGGGUCCGUAGGCGGAUCAUUAAGUCAGUGGUGAAAGCCGGCAGCUCAACUGUCGAACUGCCAUUGAUACUGAUGAUCUUGAAUACGGUUGAAGUUGGCGGAAUAGGUCAUGUAGCGGUGAAAUGCUUAGAUAUGACCUAGAACACCGAUUGCGAAGGCAGCCAACUAAACCGUUAUUGACGCUGAGGGACGAAAGCGUGGGGAGCGAACAGGAUUAGAUACCCUGGUAGUCCUAGCCGUAAACGGUGCACACUUGCUGUAGGAGGAUUCGACCCCUUCUGUGGCGGAGCAAACGCGUUAAGUGUGCCGCCUGGGGAUACGGUCGCAAGAUUAAAACUCAAAGGAAUUGACGGGACCCCGCACAAGCGGCGGAGCAUGCGGCUUAAUUCGAUGAUACCCGUAGAACCUUACCUGGACUUGACAUAUAGGGUCAAGCUAUAGAGAUAUAGUGUGCAUUAGCGCCCUA